rnacentral:tRNA from 1 species
GGGUCGAGGUGCCGGACGGGACCGAGGUGGCGCUGGUGCUGUCACUGGUCGCGUUCGACCCGGACCUGAACCCG